rnacentral:rRNA from 1 species
AUACGUAGGGGGCGAGCGUUGUCCGGAAUGAUUGGGCGUAAAGGGCGCGUAGGCGGCGCGGUAAGUCUGGAGUGAAAGUCCUGCUUUCAAGGUGGGAAUUGCUUUGGAUACUGCCGCGCUUGAGUGCAGGAGAGGUUAUCGGAAUUCCCGGUGUAGCGGUGAAAUGCGUAGAGAUCGGGAGGAACACCAGUGGCGAAGGCGGGUAUCUGGACUGCAACUGACGCUGAGGCGCGAAAGUGUGGGGAGCAAACAGGAUUAGAUACCCUGGUAGUCCACACUGUAAACGAUGAAUGCUAGGUGUAAGAGGUAUCGACCCCUUUUAUGCCGGAGUCAACACAAUAAGCAUUCCGCCUGGGGAGUACGGCCGCAAGGUUGAAACUCAAAUGAAUUGACGGGG